UACGGGGGGUGCGAGCGUUGUCCGGAAUCACUGGGCGUAAAGGGCGCGUAGGCGGCGCGGGAAGUCAACGGUGAAAGCUUGGGGCUCAACUCCGAGUCGGCCGUCGAUACUCCCGCGCUCGAGCACUGUAGAGGCAGAUGGAAUUCCGGGUGUAGCGGUGGAAUGCGUAGAGAUCCGGAAGAACACCGGUGGCGAAGGCGGUCUGCUGGGCAGUAGCUGACGCUGAGGCGCGACAGCGUGGGGAGCAAACAGG
rnacentral:rRNA from 1 species